rnacentral:rRNA from 1 species
CCUACGGGUGGCAGCAGUGAGGAAUAUUGGUCAAUGGGCGCAAGCCUGAACCAGCCAUGCCGCGUGCAGGAAGACGGCCUAUGGAUUGUAAACUGCUUUUAUUGGGGAAUAGGUACUCAAUGAAUAAGCACCGGCUAACUCCGUGCCAGCAGCCGCGGUAAUACGGAGGGUGCAAGCGUUAUCCGGAAUCAUUGGGUUUAAAGGGUCCGCAGGCGGAAAAAUAAGUCAGUGGUGAAAUCUUACAGCUUAACUGUGAAACUGCCAUUGAUACUGUUUUUCUUGAAUUCGAUCGAAGUGGGCGGAAUAUGACAUGUAGCGGUGAAAUGCUUAGAUAUGUCAUAGAACACCGAUAGCGAAGGCAGCUCACUAGGUCUGAUUGACGCUCAGGGACGAAAGCGUGGGGAGCAAACAGGAUUAGAUACCCCAGUAGUC